CAAAAUCGGUUCUGAACUGCAUUUUCAUCUCAGCGUUUGGCCACGGGCAAUGAGAGCUUCAUUCAGAAGAGUCACAAAAUCGUUCUGACUAAGACCAUUUUGUCUAGAUCAGUAAUUUGGGGAUUUGCCUGUCUCAGUGCCAUCAGAAGCAACCACCUAACCCAGAAAUGCUAACAUUCCUCUUCUUUCAGCAGUCACUGACUACCUACAUCCCUCAGCUCCCUCCCCAUCUCACAUCACCCUCAGGGGCCUCUGAGCACAGCAUCACCGAGGGGGCCACAGCAGCAGAACCUCCUACCCAGAUCUCUGUAGGCACUGCCAUCAUGUGACUAAACUCCCCUCUCAACCACAACCUCCAGCUACAGGGCUCUCAUCCAAGUCAAAAAUCCAAAGACAGGCGUCUGGCUGGCUGCAGGAGUCCAGAGCCAUGAGUGUCCCUAAAUUAGUCAACCAUGGCUGGGAGACAGAGCCAUGCAAUCCAGACCCAGCUCUUCUGCUCACUGGGGCCGUUCCCGGAGAAGGAGAAACCACGCUGGAGCGGGCACUCCCACGAGUUGUCGGGGAACAAGAACUCGGAUCCUGGCGGGAGAGAGCGAACAGUACACCCGAGCGGCGGCUGUCACCCGCUUUGAAACACGUUGAAAAUUUCUAUUUGAAGUUGGAUCAAAGAAAAAUAUGAAGGGAGAGAUGAUGAUAAAGAAUGAAAACAGGACCCUCCUUCAACCACUGAAAUGGGAACACUGUGCUUUCUCUGAGCAGCAGUUAAAGCCCUGCAGAUGCUCCAGAAGGGGAACCUGCAGAUGCUCCAGAAGGGGAACCUGCAGAUGCUCCAGAAUGGGAACCUGCAGAUGCUUCAGAAGGGGAACCUGCAGUUGCUCCAGAAGGGGAACCUGCAGAUGCUCCAGAAGGGGAACCUGAAGAUGCUUCAGAAGGGGAACCUACAGAUGCUCCAGAAGGGGAAGUCUUUGUUUCCCAGGACUCACUCACAGCUUUGCCCACUGAAUUCUCCAGAAGGGGCAUUUAUGAGCUCUGAGGAAAGCUGAAUCCAGGCAGUUACCCAGACUAUGACUGUCUUAGUGUGCUCAAGCUGCUGUCACAAAACUCCAUGUACUGAGUGGCUCACAGUUCUGGAGGCUGGAAAGUCCAAGAGCAAACAGCAGAUCUGGUGUCUGGUGAGGGCUACUUCCUGGUUUGUGCAUGGUCUUCUCAUUGUAUCCUCACAUGGCAGAGAACAGAGAGAGGAAAAACCCUCACAUUUCUUAUAAGAUCACUCAUCCCAUCACAAGGGCCCCACCCUUAUGACCUAAUGAUCUCCCAAGGCCCCAUCUCCAAAUACCAGCAGCUUUGGAGUCAGGGUUGCAACAUAUGAAAUUUGGGGCACAAAAACAUUCAGUCUAUAGCAAUGACUGAGUCUUUUUCUAACAGUGGCAGUAGUCUUUUUUUUUACACAGCUAAUUUUGUGCUUGUUUUUCAGUUCUUUACACAUUAAUAGCAUAUCGUUUAGAAAUUCAUAUAUAUAUUUAAAGACCUUGAUAUGCCACCCUUUGAGUUACAACUGGGACAGUUGGGAGAGGGGAAAGUGUUCGAGUGGGAUGAAGAGCUAGGAGAGGCUCCAUGGCCGGAGGCCUGGUCCACUUCGUUUUUGUACCGGAAGGGCUCAUCGCCAGUUUAAUUGAGAAGAUAUGUGCAGAUGAGGACUUCUGUCACCAGAAAUUAGUAUGUUGGAGUUAACACUAAAAAGAAAAACAAAGGAACAAGUGAUUCUCCUGAUGGAGGAUGGAAAGGAAAGGUGUCACGGAGUACUUCUAAGAUAAUGGUAAAGAUCUAUCUGAGGCUGGGCAUGGGGGCUCAUACCUGUAAUCUUGGCACUUGGGAAGCCAAGGGGGGCAGGCCAGGAG
rnacentral:lncRNA from 1 species